rnacentral:ribozyme from 13 species
AAAAGUAACAAGAAGACCCGAUCUUGUUGAGUCAAAUGAGAAUGCUUCUCCUCAUUCUCUUCCUUUCUCUCUUUCUGUUUCUUCUUAUUCUCCUUCUUCUUCUUCU